rnacentral:tRNA from 1 species
AGGGUUGUGGCUCAGUGGUAGAGCGCUUGCCUCACAAGUGUGAAUUCCUGGGUUCGUUUCCCAGCACCACAU